rnacentral:rRNA from 1 species
GAUGAACGCUGGCGGCGUGCCUAAUACAUGCAAGUCGAGCGAAAAGACGAGGAGCUUGCUCCUCUGACGUUAGCGGCGGACGGGUGAGUAACACGUGGAUAACCUACCUAUAAGACUGGGAUAACUUCGGGAAACCGGAGCUAAUACCGGAUAAUAUAUUGAACCGCAUGGUUCAAUAGUGAAAGACGGUUUUGCUGUCACUUAUAGAUGGAUCCGCGCCGCAUUAGCUAGUUGGUAAGGUAACGGCUUACCAAGGCGACGAUGCGUAGCCGACCUGAGAGGGUGAUCGGCCACACUGGAACUGAGACACGGUCCAGACUCCUACGGGAGGCAGCAGUAGGGAAUCUUCCGCAAUGGGCGAAAGCCUGACGGAGCAACGCCGCGUGAGUGAUGAAGGUCUUCGGAUCGUAAAACUCUGUUAUUAGGGAAGAACAAAUGUGUAAGUAACUAUGCACGUCUUGACGGUACCUAAUCAGAAAGCCACGGCUAACUACGUG